CCUACGGGAGGCAGCAGUGAGGAAUAUUGGUCAAUGGGCGCAAGCCUGAACCAGCCAAGUCGCGUGAGGGAUGACGGUCCUAUGGAUUGUAAACCUCUUUUGUCGGGGAGCAAGGCCCGCCACGUGUGGCGGGAAGGAGAGUACCCGAAGAAAAAGCAUCGGCUAACUCCGUGCCAGCAGCCGCGGUAAUACGGAGGAUGCGAGCGUUAUCCGGAUUUAUUGGGUUUAAAGGGUGCGUAGGCGGAAGGUUAAGUCAGCGGUCAAAUGUCGGUGCUCAACACCGGCCUGCCGUUGAAACUGGUCGUCUUGAGUGAGCGAGAAGUAUGCGGAAUGCGUGGUGUAGCGGUGAAAUGCAGAGAUAUCACGCAGAACUCCGAUUGCGAAGGCAGCAUACCGGCGCUCAACUGACGCUGAGGCACGAAAGCGUGGGGAUCGAACAGGAUUAGAUACCCCUGUAGUC
rnacentral:rRNA from 1 species